AGAAAUUCGGAGUUGACAGCAUUACAAAGACAACGCAUCUUGUCAAUUUUUAAGUUUUUACAGCAUUGAGGUAUUGGAGGAAUAAAUGGUGAAUUUAGCCUCAAAGAAGGAGAACAAUAAACAAAAUCUGCAUAAGUUUUGUCUCGGGUACAUCCAUGAUAAGGUCUUAACGACGAUGUUCUCACAACAAGCAAUAUGAAAAUAAUAGUAUACAUCUUCAUCACCAAUUCUCUCAUUCUGUAUUUUGAUAUGAAUUCGUUUUU
rnacentral:lncRNA from 1 species